AUACGUAGGUGGCAAGCGUUGUCCGGAUUUACUGGGCGUAAAGGGAGCGUAGGUGGAUAUUUAAGUGGGAUGUGAAAUACUCGGGCUUAACCUGAGUGCUGCAUUCCAAACUGGAUAUCUAGAGUGCAGGAGAGGAAAGUAGAAUUCCUAGUGUAGCGGUGAAAUGCGUAGAGAUUAGGAGGAACACCAGUUGCGAAGGCGGCUCUCUGGACUGUAACUGACACUGAGGCACGAAAGCGUGGGGAGC
rnacentral:rRNA from 1 species